UACGGGGGGGGCAAGCGUUGUUCGGAAUUACUGGGCGUAAAGGGCUCGUAGGUGGCCAACUAAGUCAGACGUGAAAUCCCUCAGCUUAACUGGGGAACUGCGUCUGAUACUGGAUGGCUUGAGAUUGGGAGAGGGAUGCGGAAUUCCAGGUGUAGCGGUGAAAUGCGUAGAUAUCUGGAGGAACACCGGUGGCGAAGGCGGCAUCCUGGACCAAUUCUGACGCUGAGGAGCGAAAGCCAGGGGAGCAAACGGG
rnacentral:rRNA from 1 species